UUCACCUGAAAACGAAGGAGAAUACAGGAGGUUUACCGACCUCACGAGCCUGACUCGGGGGCCACACAGAGGGGGCCCCUCCUCCACACAGCCUUUCCCCGGCGCCAGCGUCAGCCAGUGUCGCGCCAGUCUGCCCCGCAGGCUCUGUGGUCAGGCCAUAGAACUUCGCCUGUUGAUAAAAGCAGACCAUGAUGGGUGUUUAAGCACCCGGUCGUUUCCCUCUCGACAGACACAUCAGAGGCACUAGAACCUUCUGGGAGAGGCCGACAGUAGCUUCCUGGAUCCUGCGACACAACGUUCAAGUUAAAUGCGUGUCGGUGCGGGUCAGUGCAGAAACGUUUGUCAGCAGCUCAACCUUCAAGAGGUCGAGGAUGACUUUAUAAUUACAGACACAGAGGAAAAGGAAAAAAUUCUGGGGAAAAGUGGAUUUUUAUUCAGUGAAUCAAGAAAUCUGAUGUUUCCCAAUCCUCAGUUCAUUUCCUCAUACUGCUUCCUAACCUCAAAAAGGUCUCCGUGAAGUAUAACUGAGAGGACGGAGAGACGGGGGUGCCUCGAGCUCCCGUCCACAAGGCUCGCACGCCGGGUUCCACCUGUUAUUACCCUGAGGCUCUCAACAAUAUGGGACAGCACGCUAGCUUCUUGCUCAAGUUCUCCGUUACCUGGAAUCCCCUGGCCCACAAUGCGGGGGACGAGCAAGUGGAGGCAUGACGGCUGCAAGAGAGCUGCAGAUGAGGCAUUAGCCGCGGCCGAGCAGGACUUUCUGUUGAUGACCAGUGCUGCAUUCCUGGAGCUGCUGGCCUCUCCCCAGAGCCCCCCGUGUGCCCAGAGGGGAGGGCGCACCUUUGCGGGCCGCUGGGGCACCAUGGGAGGGACCAGGC